ensembl:lncRNA
ACAUGAGCAUCAACACAUUUAUCUACAUCUCUGCUCUCCUUAACACCCUAAUAACACCAUUCAGUGGUGUCCCACAAUGUUAUAUAUAACAAACAUGUAUCAAGUAUCCAUCCAGUUGUAUUCAUUAUGUAUGGCAGAAUAAAACUAUUGUAUAUGGAAUGUCAGUGCACUGGCUCUCACCUGCCUACUGAUGAUCAUGAUGGAGAUGAAGAUGAGUGAAUCUGUGAAGAGCUUGCUGGCAGAAUUAGAGCCCACGGGACAUGAGCAGCAUUCAGCCGUUCUCGGUGUUUCUGUCUCUUAUGGACAGCUCCCAUUCACACCACGCUUCCUCAUCAAUACGUGGAAAUUCCACAUUUCCAAAUCAGUCCAGCUCUCCUCUGAACAGCACAUGCAGAGAAACACACAGAGCUUCACACGGAACAUCUUAUGAUAGGACACAUGAUGACUUGUGUGCAAGCAAACAUACCAAACGGUCUACAGGCUGUUAAACAGAUUACACAUUGUGUAUUUGACCGUGUAGUAAGCUUUGAGCACAAAGUGUAGCUGUUCUUCAUUUCUUUGUGUGCUUUGUGUGAUGCAAUCAUGAUGUUCUAAAGCAAAUGCCUGCGUUUGUACAUUUUGGAAAAAAAGAGGAAACUGAUGACUCGCUGGUAGUUCCCCUACAGACCUCUAUGAUAUAUAUAUAUAUAUGUAUACACACACACAGAUGUGGUACUGGAGAUUCAGCUGAAGCAUGCCGGUGGUAGUCCCCGUGUUCUCUUUCAGUAACCGUUACAUAAAUCAGUCAUGCUCAGUCCUUUUUAACAGCAGCACUGCCUAUUAAAGAUUAUUCAUCAACACGCAUGGCAUUAGUCACCUGACCUUUUUUCUGAUGUUGUAACCUCACACAAGUGUAAUGUAUAUUCUUGGGCACUCUCGCUAUUCUUUCUCACUCUCUUAUUAAGACAGAGAGGAGAUUGCAUGUGCUGGGAUUUCUUCCAAGAGAAAGGUCACGGUCUUCUUGCCCCAUCUCUGUGGAGAUUUCUGAGAUCUGUACAUCGGAGAAGUUCAGUCACGAGUAUGUGGUGUGUCCAGCAGCAGAGCAUCUCAUCUUCAUGCACUGAGACCGAUCUGCAGAAACCUUCCCAAACAGCAGAAAUGCACUGGAACGACAGCGGAGUGAAGAAACAUCAUCUGCACCAUCCCUUUACACACAGGGAAAAUAACACCCGCAUCCCUCCUUAAAGUAAACCCAAUUUAUUUUCAAAGAAAAACAAAGGACCAUCAGGAAAAUACAGGACUUCCUGUCAUAUAGAGUGAGGACGAACGAUACAGUGCCACGACUGAAAACAGAAGAACAGCUUCAGAGUCAAAGCAGUGCUGAGGAAACACCCGCUGCAUUAUUACCACCCAUUAAUCAAGAAUUAUGGCUGAAAUAACAAAUAAACAAAACAACAAUGAGCAUUAGAUUCACAAAACUUUGCUUGUUUAAACCUUUUUUCUUUUUUUCUCAGGUCACUAGAUCAGGGCAAGAACUGAAACAUCACAAUGGCUAGCUGUGUUGAACUGUGAAGGACUGAGAAACUCUCAAAGUUAAAGCUUAAAGAAAGCGCCAAAGCAGUUCUCAUUUCGUGGCUGUUUCUAAACACGUACGCUUCACUUUCAGUGUCUGCCACUGGCACCAAUCACCUUCUUCUUAUGACAAAUCUCACUGAAAGCUCAACAGCUUCGCUGAAAUCUUAAAAUGAUCUAAUGCUAAAUAACACAAGUAACAAAUAUAGAACUUAUAGAACAUAUAAAUAUAUAGUGUGUGUGGGGAGAGAUGAACUAAACAGAGAAAAUACCUCCAGUAACCACAACACAUUCACUCCAAUCAGCAGCAGAGUGUGUGUGAGUGUGUGUGAGAGAGUGUGUGUGAGAGAGUGUGUGAGAGAGUGUGUGUGUGUGUGUGUGUGAGAGAGUGUGUGAGAGAGUGAGAGUGUGUGUGUGAGAGAGUGAGUGUGUGAGAGAGAGAGAGUGAGUGUGUGAGAGAGUGUGUGUGUGUGAGAGAGUGAGUGUGUGUGUGAGUGUGUGUGUGUGUGAGAGAGUGUGUGAGAGAGUGAGUGUGUGAGAGAGUGUGUGUGUGUUUGUGUGUGUGUGAGAGAGUGAGUGUGUGUGUGUGUGAGCGUCUGUGUGCAUGCGUGCAUGUAUGUGUGUGCGUGUGUGUAUGAGUGUGUAUGUAAGUGAGUGCGUCUGUGUGUGCAUGCGUGCGUGCAUGUAUGUGUGCGUGUGUGUGUGCAUGAGUGUGUAUGUGUGUGCGCGCGUGUGUGAGUGUGCAAUAGUCUGUGUGUGCAUGUGUGUGUGUGUGUGUGAGUGUCUGUGUGUGCGCGUGCAUGUGUGUGUGUGUGUGUGUGUGUGAGAGUGAGUGUGUGUGUGAGAGUGAGUGCGUGUGUGUGUGGGAGGGAGAGCGUGUGUGUGUGUGAGUGAGUGAGCGAGUGUGUGUGUGAGUGAGUGCGUGUGUGAGUGAGUGUGCGUGU